rnacentral:rRNA from 1 species
AUACGGAAGGUCCGGGCGUUAUCCGGAUUUAUUGGGUUUAAAGGGAGCGCAGGCGGAGAUGCAAGCGUGACGUCAAAUUUCGGGGCUCAACCCCGUCUCGCGUCGCGAACUGCGUCCCUUGGUUGCGGGAAGGGGAGGCGGAACUCGUGGUGUAGCGGUGAAAUGCAUAGAUAUCACGAAGAACUCCGAUCGCGAAGGCAGCCUUCCGGCCCGUCAACGACGCUCAUGCUCGAAGGUGCGGGUAUCAAACAGGAUUAGAUUCCCUGGUAGUCCGCACAGUAAACGAUGGACACCCGCGGUUUGGCCUGUAUGGCUGAGCCGCCAAGCGAAAGCGUUAAGUGUCCCACCUGGGGAGUACGCCGGCAACGGUGAAACUCAAAUGAAUUGACGGGG